AACGAACGCUGGCGGCGUGCUUAACACAUGCAAGUCGAACGCGAACGUCUUCUUCGGAAGGCUAGUAGAGUGGCGCACGGGUGAGUAACGCGUAAGUAACCUACCCUCGCAUUCGGGAUAACCCACCGAAAGGUGUGCUAAUACCGGAUACGUCUGUAUUGAUAUCUUUUUUACAGAGAAAGGUGGCCUCUGAUUCAAGCUACUGUGCGAGGAGGGGCUUGCGUACCAUUAGCUCGUUGGUAGGGUAACGGCCUACCAAGGCAACGAUGGUUAGCGGGUCUGAGAGGAUGAUCCGCCACACUGGAACUGGAACACGGACCAGACUCCUACGGGAGGCAGCAGUGAGGAAUAUUGCGCAAUGGGGGCAACCCUGACGCAGCGACGCCGCGUGGAUGAUGAAGGCCUUCGGGUUGUAAAAUCCUGUCAGAUGGGAAGAAGUGCUGCUUACUUAAUACGUAAUCAGUUUGACGGUACCAUCAAAGGAAGCACCGGCUAACUCCGUGCCAGCCGCCGCCGUAAGAC
rnacentral:rRNA from 1 species